AGAGCGUGCAUGUGUGCCACCAGCUAAUGGUCACUUGUAUGUCAAUAUUAACAUCCGAUGUAGGUCAUUUUAUUGAAAUACUGACAUGACGAAGCAAUACAAGCUUUCUGCUGGGAAGCGCCUAGCUAAGCCCGUUCUGUUUGGGACUCUGAUUGUUGGACUGGCUGCUGUUUUCUUGAACAGGCAGAGGUUCUUUGAGGACGUGGCUGACCUCCGGGCCCAGGAGCAAGCACGCAGUGAUGCCAGGAGGGUGGAGGUCAUGGAGAGGAGGCGGAGGCAGAUGGAGGAGUUGGCGGAAAUUAAGAAAAGCGGAAGCAUUUGAACACAGCGGCCUUGAAUAGCAAAUUUAAAAAAUAUAUAAACCAAUAAAUAUAAAUAAAUAUAUAUCAAUCGAAAACGGUGGAUUUAACCUCUUGUAAAUAUGAAGAACGAUGAAUAUUGAUUGUUUGUUUUUUCUAUUAUGUGUCUGUUUUGAGACAUGCUCAUGGACAAUUAAAAGAGAAGCAAAUCUAAACAGUGAAACUGAGUUUUUAAGUGUAGUAAUGUAGUUUGACCACAAGAGGGCAUUGUUGAGCAAAUUAGUCAUAGUAGCGUAGUAAUGUAGUUCUAAACUUGGCCACAAGAGGGCAGUGUUGGACAAAGUGGUCGGGCCUGCGGCGACGUCAACCAGUUUCCAGCCUAGAGGAGGCCUAAGAGAGGACAGAAGAAUGUGGUGAAGUGGUGGUUGUGACCCAUGUCGCUGUUACUCCACUGAAUGAUUCCAUGAGAAGAAGCGCUGGGAUG